UACAGAGGGUGCGAGCGUUGUUCGGAAUUACUGGGCGUAAAGCGCGCGCAGGCGGCCCUUUAAGUCCGUCGGUCAAAUGCCGGGGCUCAACCCCGAGCGUGCCGAGGAUACUGGAGGGCUGGAGACACGUAGAGGCAAGCGGAAUUCCGGGUGUAGCGGUGGAAUGCGUAGAGAUCCGGAAGAACACCGGAGGCGAAGGCGGCUUGCUGGGCGUGAUCUGACGCUGAGGCGCGAAAGCUAGGGGAGCGAACGGG
rnacentral:rRNA from 1 species